UGAGGGAGGGAAGCAGCAAUCUCCCUGAUCACCGGCCAAUGGCAGAGUAAUCUGCAAACCUCAUUGUAUAAGGAAGUCUUCCAAUAAUAUACGGCAUCUUCAAAUUGUUUGUGGAAAAUACAUAUUUUUAAAUUAUGCAUGAAUAUAAACUUUAAAAAAAAUACAUUUGUACUAACUUGUUACAUGUCUGAACAGGAUCUAGUUCAGUCACUAACAGGGUUGAGAAAGCAGUUUGAAAACAGCCUCUAUCAGAGCAGCAAAAAUUCUACUAAUAUUGUAGGAAGAACAAAUAUCAAGUUUAGGGUGAAGCUUGGGUGGAGGGAUGGGGACAUCAUCUAAUGGAUGCAUUAGGAGAUAUUUGUGUGCAAGUAAAUCAGCCAUUCAAUAACGGAUAACUCACUUUAAGAAUUGAUGAGAUGUUGGUGAAGGUAAACCUUGCAGCAGCAGACCGUACACAUCAAUUUAUGGGCAUAAAUUUUAUCUUCUUUUGGCCUAAUUGAAGAGGCCUGACAAUUUACAACAGAAACAAGAGCCAGCACAAGAAGAAACUCAAUUGGUUCAGAUUACAUAAUUUUUUCUGAUUGAAAAAUUAAACUUGAGCAAACUAUCCACUUGAUGAGGGCCAAAACUGCUGUACUUAAGUCAGCCAGAGACAAGAACAGAACGUUGAAUGAAAAAGUAAACAAGUAGGAAGGAGAAGAGAAAAAAAGAUCCUAAGCAUGUCUAUGAAGAGUUGUAACAGGAGAUCAAACGUGGAUUUACCAGUACCCCUCGAAGGAAAAAACACAAUCAAAGCAAUGGCUACCAAGAGGUGGAUGUGGUAUAGUCUAAGUAAAUGUGACAAAAGCAAAUAUGCCAACAGUGUUUAUGGAUGCUCAAGGUAUUUUGGUUGUUAACUUUUGGGAGGGCCCGAGAAUGAUAAAAUCGACUUAUGAAAGAGUUUGGAAUUUAUAGAAAGUUAGCCAAAUCGUUAGCAGAUAAAGGGAUGAGAUUGAAUGCCUAGUGAUUUCCAUCAAAAGUCUGGCAAAUUGCCCCUGUUUCAUGAGAGGAAUGAGUAGGAGCAUUAUUGUGAUGGACAAGGAGUCUGCUAAAGCCUUUCUGGGCAUUCAUCUGCUAAAGUUUUGCCUAACUUUCUCCAACAUCUCAUAAGUCGAUGUUUUCGUUCCAAGUGAAGUAACUUAGGAUUGGUAAACCAAACACCGUAGUUCUGACUCAUGAAUAGGAGCUAAACUAUGAGGAUGCAAAGGAAAAGAAAAACACAGUGGAUUUUGGGAACUCAGGGGGAAAUGGUUGGAAAGAGGUGAGGGGUAAAAGACUACAAAUUGGGUGCAGUGUAUAUUGCCCUGAUGAUGGUUGCACCAAAAUCUCACAAAUCACCACUAAAGAACUUACACACGUAAUGAAACACCACCUGUCAUGAUCAUAUUUUAAAACAAUUUCAAAGAUGAUAAAUACGCAUACAUGUGAACUUCAAAAUCAAUGAAAUAUAAGAAUAAUUUUUGGUCUUAAGCAGAAGAGACAACAUCUUUUGUAAGAGAUAGGUCACUGAGUCAUUGAUUAAUUACUUUAAUGACAUUCCUCUUUUAAAUGUAUCAGCUUACCGUCUUGGUACAUGAUCAUAAAAAUAUGAUGGUGACAUACAUUGCUUUGUACUUCUUAUGAGAUAAAUUGUGAUUGUACUUCUCUAUGAACUGAUGGGAAGGGUAACUGAAAGGUGAAGAAUAUAGUCUGACAUUGUGAGCUGAGGCUACAGACACUUGACCUUAGGCUGAUGACCAAUGCCUUCUACGGCCGCAGUCACUGAGGGUGGAACACCAGCUCUGGGGGCAGGAACAAAGGCGCCAUCUUCAUGCAGAAGACUGAAAGCUGUGAAAGUGGUGGAAAAUUUAUCCUUUCUUAGACAAUUAUCUGACCAGGUUCCCUCUUGGAUUCCUAGAAUUUUAGAUCCACUGUGAUUAGAGGGAUCAAAUUUAGUCAAUUUAAAAGGGCAUACACAAAAUUUGUCAAUGCUAAUAUGUCACCCAAGAAAAAUGCAUGUAGCGUGGAUUAAGGAAGUACAUACAGGAUCUACAUUGACAGGGUUUUGUAAUUAGAAAAAAAAGGAAUUAAUUCCUGAGCGUCUUUAUAUAAAUCCAAGGGGUAAAGCAGAAUAUUAGAAUACGUUUGUAUGUGAUUAUGAUAUCAAACAAACAUGUUUACCCAGGAAAAUAUAUUUUUUUCUCACCUCAGCUGUUAAAGUCUCAGGAAAAUUUAACCUUGAAAACAUUCUAAGAGAAACUUGUUUUUGUUCUCUGAAUCUCAUUUCCUUUCACUUUCUUGUGAAGAAAUGAAUGAAUGAAGAGCAAGUAACCAGUGGAGCACAGUAGGCAAGAACUCAGUUCUGAGAACUGACUGCCUUCCAUUGCACUUAAUACCUUUAUAUGAACCUAGGCACGCACCUAAGUCACCUCAUCUACAAAUAAAGAUAAUAACAAUAAUCACACCUCCCUAAUAUGAUAGUACUGAAGAUUGAAUAUCAUAUAGUAAAUGCUGAAGAAAUGUUUUCUAUUAUAAUCAGCCUAUGCUAGGAUAAAUGGAAAGAAUACAAAUACGCUCAAAUAAUUGUGAAAUAUAUAUAUUAGAGAGCAUCAACAUGAAAUAAAAAUAUAAAGAUGACCAUCCUACUAGUGUAACCAAAGUUUUUAGAAAAGUCAAAGGAAUGCUGAAUUCUCACACACAACUGUAUUAUCAGGAUGGUUGGUUUACACAAUGAACAGAGAAAUUUGAGGAAGAUUCUGCUUUCUGUUCCAUCAGAGAGCUUCAGUAAGAGGGAGAUGUGUGGUGUGAGAGAGCUGAGGCAUGAAAUUUGGAUCUUAUUACAAGUACAGAAGAAAAUCCUAAGAACAUUUGAUGCACAGAAGUGUUAUGAUCUAAUUCCUACUUUUCAAUGAUCACCCUGACUGAUGUGAGGGGAAGAGAUAUGGGAUGUCCUAGUGUAGGAAUGUUACCAAGAGCAGCUGAGGAUAUUAAAGUCCUUCAGGGGAGAGCAUCAUGGCCUGAACUAUGACCUUGUAGUAAAGAUUGUGCAAGUUGUUCUAUUUGGGAUGAGUGUCGAAAGUGGAGUCAACUCGAUUUGCUAUAGGGCGGUGCUUGAAAGGAGUGAGGAUUUUUGAACCACUGAACACUUGACUUAGAACAGGAUGGGAGCUGUUAUGAGAGCUGAAUUGUGUUUCCUAAAAUUUCAUAUGUUGACGACUGUUCCUUCAGGACCUCAGAAUAUGGACAUGGAUAUUAGAAGGCAAGUGGAGUGCUGAGGGCUGCCACUCACCUCUAGGUGCCCAAGCUCCUGCAGCAGUCCUGCUUCUGUCUUUCACCCACCCUCACUCACAGACAGUGUCCCUUUCUGCAUUUCCAUCACUUCCCUUUUUGUUUUGUCAGUUGAGUGCAUAGCUGGUAUUUAUGGUUUCCUGAUAAACUUUACUCAUUGCUGACAUUGGAGAAGGUCAGGGAAAGGGCCUGAAAUGAGUCACCUUUAGGGGCAUUUCUGUUCUCUUCCUGUACUCUCCUGCCAAGGACCAGUCGGUCUUGCCUCAGGCCUGCAGCAACCUCAGUUGGUGACUUAAUCAGGCAAUGUCAGCCUGGCCUCUUUGUUGCUCCUUGUCUCUGACAUUCCUUUGUUACCUGAUAGUCUAACUUAAGCCACCUAGGCAGGAUUGCUCAUCUCCAGUUCCUAUGGAAAACAGUGUCUGGUGAGACCAGAGACACAAAUCUCCAUAAUACAGUGGGAUUUCCUGGGACCAAGCAACUACUCUCUGCCUAAGAGAAAACUCAUGAGGCUCAGCUAGAAUCAAUCCAUUUUCCAUAGAGCCAGAAAUAAUUGCCAAUUAGUAAUGUAUUUGCCCUUCCAGUACAUCUACGUCUAUAUUUAUGCCAGGGAAAAUACCAAUCUGCCUGGUCCCCUUGCUAGGGCAAUGUUAUCCGUAGCAAAGCCUUUUGUAUGAGGAAGUCUCCCUGUGCUAUGACCCACAACUGUUGAGAAGGGCCAACCAAAUUCUCAUAUAGAAAGCCCAGGAUAAACUCAUCCAGAAUGGUCAAGAGGCCUGUCUUUAGGAUUUACUAUUGCUCACACUGUCUAUCCCCAUCAUACCUCCAACAAAGCUGUCCUCAAAUUAACACCAGCCGUGUAAAAAAUGUGAACAAUUACACAAGAAGACACACAGAAGGUUUAAGUGGAAAAUGGCAGCUGUUGAUACUGACUAACCUGUCUAUUCCAUGAAUUGAUGAGCAGGGAUUUACCAGAUGGAAGAAUCAGCAGCUAAAAGAAGGUUAGCAAUGUAGGACUCUGAUAGGGCUUUUUGGAAAAACAACAUUUAUUGUGAAACUACACAGAGAAGAAUGAAAAAAGGCGGUGAGGAGUACUAUAUCCUAUUACAUAGAAGAUUAAAGAAAGGAAAUCUCACCAAAUUCAUGGGAAAAAGUCAGAUAUAUAAUAAAAAUACACAUAAUGGUCUUGACUCAGAAAACAAAUUAGGAAUAAAGAAGUACUAGAAAGAACUUGCAGAGGAAUGCAUAUCAGAAUAUUGUAGAAAAAAUACUCUUUGUGGAAGAACAAUCUGAGAAAACGAAUACAAUGCAAUUGAGGCUUUGAGGGUGGUAUCUGAUUAUCUUAUUUCAAUGUAUAUUUGUGGCCACUUAAUUAUCAGUGGUAGGAACUUGAUACAAAACCCAAAAGAAAUGAAGUACAGAGUGCAUUUUAGAGAAUAUUCCAGAGAAAGGGAAGAAUAUGAAGGAUGUUUUAGUGACAUGAGAUCGCAUGACUCCCUCACAGAACUAUGUAUCCAGUUUUCUCAGGUCUAGAAAUUUCCUGGUGGUUUCUGUGUCCAUUUGCCUUAACAACCUCUAAUAAUAGUUUAAAAUACAAAAUUUUAGCCUUCCUGUGUUGUACAGCGCUAAGCUGUCCCUGAGCUGAGUGAGAUCCACAGAAGCUUGAAGAAUAUCUGUAGCCUGAGGAGGCUGUGGGGCAGCUUUCUGUCAUCUAUGUGUGCCCAGGAGUGUGCUGUUUUCUCACAUCUCACAGAGAGCAGAAACCAUCACUAUCGUACCAAAAAUUUAGCUAAAUAUGAAAAUAUCUGUCCAGACACAUCACAAGAAAUGGAAAUAGGGCAUAAAUAGAUCCAGAGAUAUUGACCAUCCUCACUGCUGGCUGUAGCGUUACUGCUUACACACACAUAAACAGAAAUAAAUAGCACAGUGGAAAGCGGAUGAUAGUCUUACCUAAAGAUUGAAACUCUAAUGAUAUCUAAAGUUCAAUUAUGACACAGUGCUGAUGGCUUGGGCACAGUUCCUUCAAAACCAUUGUUCAAGUCACAGUUGUACCUUUUAGAAAUAAGACACUAACAACAUAUCCAACCCAACCCAUCCCUCUGGGUUAGAGUAUCAGAGAAAAAUAAGGGAUACACCUGACCUGCAGUGAGCAAAGCACAGCCCAGUCUCUGAGGUGGUGAGGCCCCCGCAGUGUGGAGCUGAAAGGUGUCAUUGUUUUGCUUCUCUUCAUAAAGGGAGCAGCCCCGUUCCUCCCAGCACAGUGUUGGGAGCAACUCCAGAGUCUCCUGCAAGAUGCUGUUGAUUCUGCUGUCAGUGGCCCUGCUGGCCCUGAGCUCAGCUCAGAACUUACAUGAAGAUGUCAGCCAGGAUGAAUCUCCCUCCCUAAUAUCAGGUAAAUCCCAAUUCGUUCUCAAUCUGUUUUGACUGUCUUUUUCUGCAGAUGAAUGGAUCAGCUCUCCAGUGUCUUCUUAUCAACAUUAACCUUUCAGGAACUGAUGAAUAUUAGUGCCCUAAUAAUACAGGCAAUCUUCCUGCAACCCUGAUUCUGGGGACCAUGAGCUGGCCACAAAAUUGAAUGGCAGAGAUACUUUGGUUAGAUGUCAGUAGGAGUGGGUUGUCUCAUUCCCCGACCAGGAGUGGCUGCUGGGAGAUGACAGACAAAUGCACAACAUCGUCAGUCUGACUCCUCUUUAUACGGAGAGACUCCCAACUGCUUUGUUCUUCCCUGGCGUUCUAUUCCAGAGUUCUAUGUCUUCACUGAAAAUGCAAAGAAAUUAGUGUCUUGGUCCCAUUUUUUUGCGUUUCCCCCUCAGCUUUUUACCCUAGCUGAUCAAAAUUUACUGCAACUUUUCAGUGAAUCUUGUGUGGGCUUUUACUCUGUCUUUCUCUUCUCUCUUUCUCCUCCAGAACAUCAACAAGGACAACCCCAACAAGGAGGCAAGAAGCCCCAAGGUCCCCAGUCUCCUCCAGGGAAUGCACAAGGACCACCCCAACAAGGAGGCAAUGCCCAGCAGGCUCAGCCACCUCCUGCUGGAAAGCCCCAGGGACCACCACCCCCUCCUCAAGGGGGCAGACCCGCCGGACCUCCCCAGGGACAGUCUCCCCAGUAAUCUAGGAUCCAAUGACAGGAAGUGAAAAAGAAGAUGACAGUGAUUCAAAUGAUUCAAAUGCUGUGACAUUGGAAGAAGGUGGUCAUAGCUCUAACUUCAAUAUACCAAUAAAAUAAUCAGCUUGCAAUUUCUGAUUGUGGUGUCUGUUUCUCAAUGUUUGUGAAUGUGGGAUCUGAGGACCAAGAGGACAUUCUAAGAACAUCCAGGAACCCUCCUCCUUGAUGCUCCAGGAAGCUUCCCUCCUGCUUAAUCCUAAUUUAGCCAGCUGCCAUGAAAAAAGGUUUUACUGUUUCUCUAUUUCCCUGUUUUCUAUUAUUUUUACCCCACCCGAGAUGGAGUUUUAUUCACCCAGCCCGGAGUGCAGUGGCACAAUCUUCGCCAAGUGCCCCUUGUAUCUCCUGGCUUCAAGCUAUUCUACUGCCUCAGCCUUCCAAGUAUGUGAGGUUAUAGGUUCCCAGCAUCAUGCAUGGCUCAUUUUUGUAUUUUCAGUAGAAAUGAGGUUUCGGCCUGUUAGCCAGGCUGGUCUCCAU